rnacentral:rRNA from 1 species
AGUCGAGCGGUAGAGAGAAGCUUGCUUCUCUUGAGAGCGGCGGACGGGUGAGUMAUGCCUAGGAAUCUGCCUGGUAGUGGGGGAUAACGUUCGGAAACGGACGCUAAUACCGCAUACGUCCUACGGGAGAAAGCAGGGGACCUUCGGGCCUUGCGCUAUCAGAUGAGCCUAGGUCGGAUUAGCUAGUUGGUGRGGUAAUGGCUCACCAAGGCGACGAUCCGUAACUGGUCUGAGAGGAUGAUCAGUCACACUGGAACUGAGACACGGUCCAGACUCCUACGGGAGGCAGCAGUGGGGAAUAUUGGACAAUGGGCGAAAGCCUGAUCCAGCCAUGCCGCGUGUGUGAAGAAGGUCUUCGGAUUGUAAAGCACUUUAAGUUGGGAGGAAGGGUUGUAGAUUAAUACUCUGCAAUUUUGACGUUACCGACAGAAUAAGCACCGGCUAACUCUGUGCCAGCAGCCGCGGUAAUACAGAGGGUGCAAGCGUUAAUCGGAAUUACUGGGCGUAAAGCGCGCGUAGGUGGUUUGUUAAGUUGGAUGUGAAAUCCCCGGGCUCAACCUGGGAACUGCAUUCAAAACUGACUGACUAGAGUAUGGUAGAGGGUG